AUUUUGAUAAAUAUUAGGAUAUAAGAAUAAAGGGGUAUAAAUAAAUUUUUAUCUAUUAUUAUUUAUUUCAAAUUUUCUUUUGCAGGUGUAUAUCUCUUUGAAAGAUUUUGUUCAGAAGCAUUCCUUAUCUUAUUAUACUAUCCAUACACAACUACAAUAAAAUCUUUAUUAUUCUUUUUAUUUUCUCUCUCUUCAAUGUUUCAACAUUUAUUCUUCACUCAAAAAACCUAAACUUAUAAAAAAUCUUCAUUGCAUUCUUCUUAUCUUCAAGAACGUCACCAACCUUCUUUUCGACCUAGAAAUCCUUCACCGACAAUCAUCAAAAUUCAAAAAAAAUGUCAAACACAUAGUCUUCAAUUUUUUUUAAAAAAUAUUACAGGAUCAAAUAAGUAGAGUCGAAAUCAUAAAAAAUCAAGGCAAUGGUUGAUAAAAUUAAAAAUAGAAUGGAGUAUAUUUUUAAAUGGAGUAUAUCUUCAACUUCAAGUCCUAACUUUAAAAAAAACUUAAACUCAUUUAUCCAGAAUCUUCAUUGCAUUCUUCUUAUCUUCAAGAACGUCAUCAACCUUCUUUUCGACCUAGAAAUCGACAAUCAUCAAAAUUUAAAAAAAAAAGUCAAAUACAGAUUUUUCAACUUAAAAAAAAUAUUAUUACAGGAUCAAAUAAGUAAAGUCGAAAUCAUGAAAAAUCAAGAGAAUGGUUGAUAAAAUUAAAAAUAGAAUGGAGUAUAUUUUUAAAUGGAGUAUAUCUUCAACUUCAAGUCCUAACUUUACAAAAAAACUUAAACUCAUUUAUCCAGAAUCUUCAUUGCAUUCUUCUUAUCUUCAAGAAGAUCAUCAACCUUCUUUUCGACCUAGAAAUUGACAAUCAUCAAAAUUCAAAAAGAAUGUCAAAUACAAAUUUUUCAACUUAAAAAAAAUAUUAUUACAGGAUCAAAUUAGUAAAGUCGAAAUCAUGAAAAAUCAAGAGAAUGGUUGAUAAAAUUAAAAAUAGAAUAGAGUAUAUUUUUAAAUGGAGUAUAUCUUCAACUUCAAGUCCUAACUUCACAAAAAACUUAAACUUAUUUAUCCAUAAUCUUCAUUGCAUUCUUCUUAUCUUCUAGAAUAUCACCAACCUUCUUUUCAACCUAGAAAUCCUUCACCGACAAUCAUCAAAAUUCAAAAAAAAAAUGUCAAACACAAAUUUUUCAAAUAAAAAAAAAUACAGGAUCAAAUAAGUAAAGUCGAAAUCAUGAAAAAUCAAGACAAAAUGGUUGAAAUCAAGACAAAAUCCUUCACCUACUCUUGUUCUUUAUUUUUUUCUUGAUAAAGAUAAACAACUUUUAUUAGACCUGCAAAACCCAAAACACAUUAUGACAAAUUAGCAAAAUAAAAUAAAAUGGUGAAGAGAGAUUUAUACAAAUAAGAAUAACUAUUGGAGUUUUAUAUUUUUUCCUACUCUUGUUCUUUAUUUUUUAUUUUUGAUAAAUACGACCAACUUUUAAUAGAUUUGCGAAGACAAUACACAGUAUAACAAAUAAAAAAAAAUUGGUGAAGACUCUAUACAAAUAAGAAUAACUAUUAGAGUUCUAUAUUUUUACCUAUUCUUAUUCUUUAUUAUUUUCUUGAUGAAAAUGAACAAUUUUGAAUGGAUCUGCAAAACACAACCGUAUGACAAAUCAGAAGGAAAAAAGUUGAAAAAGAAGUUGAAAUGACCGUGGAAAAAGUGGUGAUGAGAAAGAGAAAGACAGAGAGUUUGAUAUAAGAGAGAAAUUUCGAUUGAAGAAAAAAAUGAAGUGAAAGAGAAAAAAGUUGGAAACAUAAGGAAAAAAAAUAGAAGACGAGUGAAUGUAAUAAGAGAGAGAGAGUUUUGACAAAGAAAAGAAGAUUGGUUGGGUGACACAUAAAUAUUAAGGACAAAAUAGAAACUUCCAAAAUCAUCGAACCCUUACUUAUAUUUGAUUUGUAGGGAAAUGGUUCUCUCUUAGAAAUAUAUAUAGUUUGUUCUAUUCUUUCUUAAAUCGAAAACUUUCUAUAAAAAAUUAUUCAUACAUAAUAAUCAUUAAAGAAAAAUAGAUAAAAUAGGAUAGUGAUACUAUAAAAGAAAAUAAGGUAAACAUAAUAUUAUAUUCAUUUAUGUUAAUUUAAAUUAAUGGUUGAAAUCUUAUUGAUAAGUUGAAUUUGAUUUUAAAGAUCAGGUUAGUUUUUCACUAUGAAAAAACACAUUGAAGAAGAAAGAAUUUUUUUUUAAAAUUCAAUAUAUAUAUAUAUAUAUAUAUAUAUAUA
rnacentral:lncRNA from 1 species